GGGAAAUGAAUGUCACAACAAAGAAGUUCGAGUCUUCGACUAGGUCUACCUGCCAAAUCGCAUGGCCUACCCACUCUGCGUGAAUCGUCUUGCCGUUUAUAUUGCCAUUUUUGGGUAGACUUUUCAGAACAUUAAUGGCCGCUAUCAUCUUCAGUAACUAAUUUGAAUCCCUUCAAUUUCUGGUUUUAUUCAUUGACCUCCCCAAAUCACACACACAACGCACUAAUCUAGCUGAUUGUUUCGGUGAUACUAUCGAAGUAGGAGAUGUUAUUGACAAGGGGAGUGUCCCGUAUAUCGAGGACAUGUUACUGCCGGCGUCAAUGGACUUUCUCUUCUUUACGUAAAAACGAGCAGCAAUUGGUCCAGCAUGACAACCAAUUUCUCUCCCCCUUGCGCGCUUCUGAGGAGGUGAAUCAACUCGUUCAUUGAUUUGUAUUUGUUGAUAUUAGUGUCACACAUUUUAGGGUUGCUAUUGAUGAGAGUUGCUCGUUGAAGUUAAUUUGUAAAUUGUAAUAACUGGGUUACGGACUGAAGAGCCAUGGUUUAAAGCUGA
rnacentral:lncRNA from 1 species